AUUGAACGCUGGCGGCAGGCUUAACACAUGCAAGUCGAACGAGUGGCGGACGGGUGAGUAAUGCUUGGGAAUCUAGCUUAUGGAGGGGGAUAACUACGGGAAACUGUAGCUAAUACCGCGUACCCUAGGAUGAGCCCAAGUGGGAUUAGGUAGUUGGUGAGGUAAAGGCUCACCAAGCCGACGAUCUCUAGCUGGUCUGAGAGGAUGACCAGCCACACUGGGACGUAGACACGGCCCAGACUCCGACGGGAGGCAGCAGUGGGGAAUAUUGCGCAAUGGGGGCAACCUGACGCAGCCAUGCCGCGUGAAUGAAGAAGGCCUUCGGGUUGUAAAGUUCUUCCGGGAGCGAGGAGUUAACUACAGAAGAAGGACAGGCUAACCACGUGUCAGCAGCCGCGGUAAUAC
rnacentral:rRNA from 1 species